rnacentral:rRNA from 1 species
UACGGGGGGAGCAAGCGUUGUUCGGAUUUACUGGGCGUAAAGGGCGCGUAGGCGGCCACCGCAAGUCGACUGUGAAAUCUCCGGGCUUAACCCGGAAAGGUCAGCCGAUACUGCGGGGCUAGAGUGCAGAAGGGGCAACUGGAAUUCUCGGUGUAGCGGUGAAAUGCGUAGGAUAUCGAGAGGAACACCUGCGGCGAAGGCGGGUUGCUGGGCUGACACGUGACGCUGAGGCGCGAAAGCUAGGGGAGCGAACGGG